rnacentral:lncRNA from 1 species
AUUGAAAUUUUUGUUGAUGAGUGAUUAUGUAAUCUAGAAGAUUCCAAUCCAAUUUUUCCUAAUAGACAAAAUAAGCACUUUAGCAAGAGUGCAUUUCUUUGUUUUAAAUUUUCUCAAUGUUAGAGAAAAGUUCAAUUAGAUUUAAGAUUUUUAUUUUUUUUGUAGUAUAGGAAAGUUUACGGAACCAUUAAAUAUUGGACUUCUCGAACAUCAGUGCCAAUUUUGUGGAACUUUAUUUUGGUACAA